AUUGAACGCUGGCGGCAUGCCUUACACAUGCAAGUCGAGCGGCAGCGCGGGGGCAACCCUGGCGGCGAGCGGCGAACGGGUGAGUAAUGCAUCGGAACGUGUCCUCUUGUGGGGAUAACCAGUCGAAAGACUGGCUAAUACCGCAUGAGCUCGAGAGAGGAAAGCAGGGGACCGCAAGGCCUUGCGCGAGAGGAGCGGCCGAGGCCGGAUUAGCUAGUUGGUGGGGUAACGGCCAACCAAGGCGACGAUCCGUAGCUGGUCUGAGAGGACGACCAGCCACACGGGGACUGAGACACGGCGCAGACUCCUACGGGAGGCAGCAGUGGGGAAUUUUGGACAAUGGGGGCAACCCUGAUCCAGCCAUGCCGCGUGUGUGAAGAAGGCCUUCGGGUUGUAAAGCACUUUCGGCCGGAACGAAAUCGCGCGAGCUAACACCCCGCGUGGAUGACGGUACCGGAAGAAGAAGCACCGGCUAACUACGUGCCAGCCGCCGCAGUAA
rnacentral:rRNA from 1 species